rnacentral:rRNA from 1 species
GAUGAACGCUGGCGGCGUGCCUAAUACAUGCAAGUCGAGCGAACGGAUGAGAAGCUUGCUUCUCUGAUGUUAGCGGCGGACGGGUGAGUAACACGUGGAUAACCUACCUAUAAGACUGGGAUAACUUCGGGAAACCGGAGCUAAUACCGGAUAAUAUUUUGAACCGCAUGGUUCAAAAGUGAAAGACGGUCUUGCUGUCACUUAUAGAUGGAUCCGCGCUGCAUUAGCUAGUUGGUAAGGUAACGGCUUACCAAGGCAACGAUGCAUAGCCGACCUGAGAGGGUGAUCGGCCACACUGGAACUGAGACACGGUCCAGACUACUACGGGAGGCAGCAGUAGGGAAUCUUCCGCAAUGGGCGAAAGCCUGACGGAGCAACGCCGCGUGAGUGAUGAAGGUCUUCGGAUCGUAAAACUCUGUUAUUAGGGAAGAACAUAUGUGUAAGUAACUGUGCACAUCUUGACGGUACCUAAUCAGAAAGCCACGGCUAACUACGUG